CACAGCAAACACCCCUCACACCCGGCACCCGCCCCCAGGUCGUGGGGAGCCCAAAGGCCGCGUGUCCUUCCUGCUGCUCUGCUGUCGUGCAAAGGGGGGUUUGUCAGGUGGGGGGGUUGUGGGAUUUGCGGGAUUGUGUUUGGCUCCAGCUUCUGAAGUGUGGGAAAAUCCUGCUGGGCCUUUCUGGGACCCAGCUGCUUAUUUGCACCUUUCUGUAUUCUACUCGGGACGCCGAAAUGUGCUCCUUUCCAAGCUCUACUGAAUAGGAUAUGCCUCUGAGACAGCUCAGAUUUAUUUUGUUAUUGCAUCACAUCUUGGGCGACCAGUCAAACUCAUGCGAAUUACAAAUGCUGUUUCCUUAUGGUCUCUCCCAUCUUUUAAACUUACUUACAUAUUUUACCUGAUAAAUGACCACAGAGAAUACGAGGCAGAGAGGAGUUGUGCUCCUGGGGAUUAAUUUCACAAACAUUAGCUCACCCAGACAAAGCUCACUGACAGCUGCAACUUUGGGCCUCACGCCCACCCCCCCAUCUCCAAGUCCCUGAAAACAAGCAUGAACAAAAUCAAGUUCUUUUCUAAUCAAUUAUGACUAAGCCAAGGCACUCACUGUGCUGCCACAGGCAACUGGGAAUGCCAGAGCUAAUGUGAGUUUGGACAAACAGGGAUACACCUCAAAGAAGUGGAUUCGUCAGGACUGUUCUCCAGGAUGGUCUGGAAAGAGUUUUCUCAAGAAGAUCAAAGUUCCAACAGCAGGGACAGAGUGUUUCAUACUUGGUUGGGUUUUUUUAUUCUUCCCUAAGGACUUGCUGCUGUCAUACAGAGAACCACUUAAACAGGGUGAAAAUCCAAACCAGCCAGGAAACAAGACGUGGCAACUAUUCAGGCUAUUUCCUAUUAGACUUACUUAUGUUGGAAGACCAGGAGAAAAGCAGUUAGUUACAUCUAGCUGAUGACUGGCAGCUGCUGUCUACGUGUUUUAGAUAUAAAUAUAAUUAUUUUGCCUCAAGACUAAGACCAAAAACUGGCCAGCUCACUAUUGACAUAGGAAAAGCCUUAAUUCUGUCUAGUGCUCUGCCCUCUAAUGCACACUAAAGAUAAAAAAAAGACCCCAUUCAAGCAUGUACCCUCAUGCCAAAUUGUCCAUUUCCUCUAAUUAAUUUUAAUUCAAUUUGCCAUAAAUCUGCAAUGUUCUGUGUAUAUUUUUUACACGGACAUACAACAUAUGCAAACCCAUGUUUUCCAAAACAGGAAAGAAGAAAAUCCCAACCUAACCACUUUUAAUUCUUUUGUUUCCACGUACCCUCAGGAGUCUGGACAAGCCUACAUUACCUAAAUCCUACUGACUAGUAGGAUGAGGAGCAGAAACUGCCCAACAACAGGCAAAAGUGCUUCUGAAAAAGGCAGGUAAGUCAACCAAAGCCUAAUCCAAGGCUGGAUAGGGAUUUCCCCCUGUUUCUGCAGAUUUUGACACACAGCCUAACACGCUCCAUGUGCUGUAAACUACUUAAAGACAUGCCCAGUUAAAGGGACUACUGGUGUCCUUGAAGGCAAGCAGAUGCUAAAGGAGGCUGCAGCUGGCUCCCAGCUCUCCUGAUCACAAAUUUGGAGCUGCCAACAGGGCUGAGCCUCAGCAUUGCUGCGAUGUUUCAGAAUGAGGGUGAUGCUAGUUGAGAGAGGCCUCCUGUUGCUGCUUAAGCUGUUGGCAUUGGCUCCCUCCCUGCUGCCCCUGGAGCAGCUCCAGCACCUCCCCAUCCUUCUGCAGCAGCUCUUUCAGGCUCAGGCUCCUAUGUCCACACAAACCUUACAGAGCAUCAGCCCCUUCACCACGGGGGCACCAGUGGAGACUCCCAUGUUCAGGACUAAUCUGAGGAGGCUGUGGCUGGCAGGGGUCUCUAAUGACAGCCCUUGGAGUGUGCCUCGUGUGAACUGAGCUCUUCCAGCUUCCAAGGAAUGCCACAAAGCUCAGCUUUUCCCACAAUCUCUGGAAAAAUGUCCAGUGCUCUUGGUCACGCCUAGUCUUUGCUGGUGUGUGACAGAAAAUGUCAUCAACCCUCUGCUACUGAGACAUCACUUAUUUUGCACUGUCAUGGAAAGAGCAUUUUUGAUAAGUAGGAUGCUGGCUGCAGUCACCUGUAAUCCUGAAAGUGGCUUAUUUGAUCAGUGUAAACCACCAUGGAUUUGAAACUUAACUUUCUGCCUACGUGUUGCACAGGAUGAAAUGCAGUUUGGGGAAAAGAAGAGGAUUUUUAUCUUGAUUAAUAGCAAGAAUUAUUUAGGCACGUUGUCUUGUGUUAUUGAGAUUCCUUGUUACAUAUGAUAUCAGUAAUGCCAAAACACCUUCAAGCAGCAGAACCUGUAUAAAUAAGUUACAGUGCUAUUUUCCAUUACAGCUGGAGACAACAGUGCAAUCUCUGUAGCAUAUUUUCAGCAGCUUCUUUCUUUCUUUUUUUUUUUUUUUUUUUAGCAUUUGGUUGUAGCACAUUUUGGGAGUUCCUUAUCUACUAAUUCAAGAUUUUACAGUGACUUUGGCUACCUCAGCCAUUACUGUAAUAUGUAAAGACUUAUCUAGGUCAGGAAACUAAACCUGCUGUAGCUUGGUUUUGAUCUAAAGUGGAGCUGACAUUUCUCUAGGGUACCUAGGGUAAAGCAGAAGGAUCAACUGGGAGUCACUUUUCUUUUCUAGACAUACCAGGAAAUUUAAAUCUGUGCAAAUGGCAGAGUCAGCCAAACUAUGCAGAAUUAGCAAACUGCUCUCUAAAAACCUACUGAUUUUAGAACCUCUAAAUCCUUUGACUGGCCCAGUCUGUUUGCAGGACACUAACUCCAAAAUCAGAGCCCAGAAAACUCUAUUUUUCUGGACUUUGCCAUGCACAUGAGGACACUGAGGCCUGGCAUACCCACUGCUGGAAUUAGCUGUGUUCAGAGGGAAGGGGCACAGAGGACAUAGGACAGUCACAGAGAAGCUCUUCCAACCAUCCUGAUCCUGGACUUAAAAUCCUACUUCCAACCAACAACCACCCAGAAAAGGUGAUAAUUUUAAAUAUCUGGCUUUGGAUAAAACUUUGAAAGUUAGAGUCUGAAUAACAAUGUGUUAUUGUUAGUGGAGAAAAAUCCAGAUUUGUUAAGUUAUUUUGAUGGCCUAAUGCUGAGCUGAUUUCUAAAAAUGUGGCAGCUCUAGCAUGCACAGGGGCAUUUUCUACUUUCUUGCAAAGUAGACAGGUACUGGUGUCCAGACAGUUCUACCCAAGGGACUUUGGGGCUAGAAGAAGAAGAGAAGGCAAAGAUCUGCUGCCACUGGAAAUAACUCUUAACAGGGCAAUAGGAACUGCAAAUAUUCAUAUUGGUGAAACACUCAGCUAAAAAUAAAAAAGGUGCUUUCUCCUUCCACAGUCAUUAUCAUGCAUUUGGGAUGAGUUCUUGUGUGUGAUGGAAGUUACCCCCCACAGUCAGUAAUUUGAAUGUUAAAUCACUUAAUGCUACACUGCUUGAGUAUUUCUGCUGUGGAAAAAAAAGGUCUGGCAGAUGUCCACGUUGGUUGCUAUUUUUGUCCUUGCUGAGGAUUAAAGUUGUGCAUCCACUACAAUCACCAGAGCAGAAGAUUUUGUUAGCUGAGGCAUUUCUACAGCUCUGACUGCAGGUGCAGAUGUAAAAGUGAAAAAUAAACAAUCAUUCUGCGACUUUUCUGUGGGUCUAGAAAUUGGCAAUCACAGCUUCCCCACAGGCACAUCUAUUCCAGUAUGUGCAAUUUACUUCAAUGCUUGCUUAUGAGCUGUAAGCAGCUGCAUCCCACUGAAGAAGGGAAUGUCCAAGAGUUGACUGUGGUCAGUCAAACACCUUGGUUUGAGAGCCAUCCUUGUUUUUGUAGCUGGAGCUGCAGACCAUUCCUCAGGCUUGGUGUUCCCACUGCUAAUAUGAUGCUGCCUGCAUCAUGACUCAGAGCUAAUAAAGGACAUCCUUAAUUGGGGUCAGGAAAGCCCCAAAGGAAAAAAAAAACAAAUCCUCUUAAAAUAUAGCAACAAAACAGGGACUUUCUUAUCUUAUUUUCUUAGGCUUUUAUGAGUACAGUGCUGCCACAGCAGCUGAUCCAAUCCAAAUUAAAUAUGUGAUGCUUCCAUUUAGUAGAAACAACUAUCUACUGAGAUUUGGAACUAGAUAACAGACAUAGAAUUUCUGUUUAUUUUGAUGUAAGUCAGCUGAAAUUUUUCAGCUAAAUAGUUCUAUGAGAAAUAUUGUCAAAAAAAAAAGAUUAUCUGAGUAUUUUGUCAAGUCAGAAUACUUCACUUUUAGUUUGGUCUUUUUUGCUGUUUCUAUAUUGCAUGGAAAACAAAAUAUACCAAAGGUUUAACAAAUAAAAGUGGGGUAUCUCAAAAUGGCUUAUUUUGAGUAACACUCCAGCAGUCUGACUCAUCUUUCUUUUGGAAUGAAGAGUACUUUUGAAAUAUCAGCCUGAGUUAUGGGACAAAAUCAACCAAGCCAAGACUGUCACAAUUUGGGAAAAUAUACACAUGCAGAUUUUCUACCCCAAAAAUGACAGACAUGUUACUGACUCUUCCUGGGGACCACUUCAGGUGUCCUGUGAUGUAUUGGGAUCCUGUGAUCUGCUUUAAUAACCAAAAGAGAGGGUGACAGUGAAUGUGAUGAGGUUUUUUCCCAGUGCACAGGUAAGUGUGGUGAGCAGGAGGACCUACAGUUCUCUGGGGAGAUCAGGAAAUCAGGAAUACAAAGAAAAGGCUCUUGGAAAAUGAGGAUGGAUCUGGGAAGCAGGAAAGGGCAUGGAAAAAGGGAAGGCCAUGGAGCAAAGUACUUUAGCAAAGUGUUAGAUAAGAGACAGGUCUGUGGUGAGAAGAAAUGCUUUGGCAGAAGAGUCUCAAACUUGUAAGAAGUGCUCUGAUAUGCAGAAGAGACUGUCAAUCCUGCAAGGAUUGUGCAAGGGGUUGUGAAUGGGUCAAGUGGGUUUCAGGAGAGAAAACUGUCUCUGAAGUGUGAAAGGAGCUGAACUUGCAAGACAUUUAUUCAGAGCAUGAAGAAUGUUCAGUUAUUUUAAUCUGGGGGGUUCCUCUGUGCCCUCUGCACCGAGGCUGAGGCAAAGGCAGGCAAGCACUGCUGGGGCCAGGGGACAAACAUGAUUAUUAUUAUUACUUGAUUAACACUGAUAUGAUUUAUUAUUUGGUGUGAUUUGCUUACUUUUCAUUCCUGCAUGUCUCUGGAAGGCUCUAUGGACAGUAUUGAAGUUGGUGAUUUCCUCAGAUGGCCAGUGUUGGAUGUGCUGCGUAGCUUUGGCUCGUCUUCGGGCAGGACUGCAUGCUGCAAAGAGAAGAACAGGAACAUGGUCAGGAUGCUGUGGAGGUGGACACGUGCCUCCCAAAGACCUCUAUAUUCAGAAUCCUAUGAGAAGAGGGGCACUUUUAGACCUAAGUCAUUGUUUUCCAGAUUCUAGGGAACCAGGAGAGAGAUGCAAGAGCUCUGCAGUUUGAAAAGAUGAGUGCACAGGCUUCUCUGCUAAUCGGGAAAGGAAAUACCAGCCAGACCUGGAAGCCAGGCUGAAAGCAUCCCCCCACUACUUACAGAAAGAUAUUCCAGAAUUCUGAAAAAAAGAAGGGAAAGACAAAGAAAGGGGGCAAAGCCCCCAACCUGGUUGGCUUCUCUUAUAAAAAAGUUACAUAUAGAUAAUUGGGCAGUCACAAAUUUGCCCUAAGCUUGUAAAACACACUUGAGUAGGUCCAUAUGAUGAUUAGGUAGAAACACAAUGCUCAGCACCACAAGGCUCCAGUCCCACAGAGCUUGUGCCAACAGCAGGGAUUGCACUAAGCCAGUAUUAAAGCUAGGGCCAGGUUGAGCACGUGGAGGCUUAACAAGCUUUCAUAUACUGGUCAUGUACUGGUAAUCCACAGAAAGCAUUAAAAAUGUCAACAAAGGAGCGAUAUGUCCAAACCAGGCUGUGACAACAAUAGUUCAUUAAGAUGCUAAUCUUAAACUACAUUUGUCCUGGAUUUACUAAUUUUUCAAGCAAAUUGAUCAGUGAGGUCUUUAUUCCCUUGAUAAGCCACAAUGAUUUUUGGAUUGGUUUUUUUCACUCCCAAUUUUUUCCUUUAAAUUUUUUAAGAUUAUCUCAACUAUUGGCUCCUGCUAGAAACAUAACCAGUUUUGGGCAAACAAGCAUAUUAAUCCAAGCUUGUCCUGUGGUUCCUAGAUUUAGGCAGUGGUAGCCCUCUUGCUGCAACUGCAUCCUGAGUCUUGCACCACAUGCAAUAAAAUGGGUAACCAGGCACAAAAUAAUUAGCAUUUCUCCAGUGGAUAAGUCUAAAGAGUAAGGCAACCUAAACUGUCACCUUACGUAUCUCGUAUCUCGUGUGUCCUCACACAGCCAUCAAGCUCCUUUUGCCACAGGCAAUACAUGUGCUCCAGUGGGGAUGAAAGGUCUUUGGAGGGUAUCAGAUGGCAUUGCCCCCUCUGCUUAAGCUCUGUGUGAAAAUGAGAUUAAAUUUAAAACAAGGACCAUCGUUAUUUGGGCUAGAGACCAUGGGACUAGCAACUUAGAAAACAGGAAGUAGAAGCUGCACUAAAGGCUCAAAAGCAGAUCAAAUUUAUGAGUCCCCUUUUGAUCCAGACUCAAGUUAUCUGAGUGAAGAAGCAAGGUAGCACAGGAGUUGGCACUGUGACAGAGGAGGCUUCAGAAUUCCUGUGCCUUUGAAAUGUGAUUAUUUUGAGGUUGCUUUUGUGCAACCAGUACAUCAAAUGACCAUAGAGCAUACAGGAAAGUACUGUACAGAGCUAAUCCUGGGAGAAAAAAGAAACCAAAAGGGAACAGGAAAGAGCCCUUGUGGGCCUUGAUCUGGACAUGAAACCUAAUAACAAUUACACUGCAGGUAAACAGAAAGGCUGAAAAAGGCAUGUGCAAAGAGAGCUGAGACCUCUGCACAUUUGGUCACUGACAGUCUCACGACACCACUGUUCAGAGGAAUCUCCUUCUACAGGAGGCCAGGUGGUAUGUCAAAGAUUAACUCAGAUCUCCAGGCAGGUUUAGCAGAGAUAGCAGGUGUGGAAGACCCUCUCCUCACUGCUCAGGGCUGACACUGCAGCAGACAAGCAGCUUGUGCAGCGCUGUGUGAGCCAUGGCUGCUGGAGGCAUCAGGAAAAUGGUGGCAUCACUUUCUGCAUUCACUAGCUGGUGCUUGGAUUUAAAUCAAGUUCAUUUUUAUUUAGGAAGCAUACAAGGAUGGUUUGAGGAAAAAUGGAGACCUUACCUUUAGGUCCUCUGCACAGAGAUGUUUAAUGCAGUGAUGGAUUUAUUUGGUUGGAGCUGUUGAAUCCCAGGCACACUGCACGUGUCCUGGAGCACAGUGAUGCCUAAGCAGAUUUAAUCAGGGGUUAAGGAAAGGGCCUAGACAGAGCUUGCCUGUGUCCCUUGACCAUUGCUCUUUCUCAUCCAUUUUUUUAAGGUCUCAGGGAGAUGGAAAGCCAACCACAAGACAGAAGAUGACAGCCACGGCACAAGACAGUGCAACAGCAAUGAUCACACAGCCUAACCUACAUGUAGUUACAUCCAAGUUUAUUCACACAGGAUGAUGGGAGAAGCACUUUUGAGUCUGACUAACUGCUGGGAGGAAAGAAGCUAAUGCAUGAACAUCAGUGGUAUUUAUUUGUAUGGACAGUGUACCAAAUGCUAACUUCGUUUUAAGGCCUUGAGUUUGCUGACAUCUAGAGGACUGUUCUGUUCAAUUACACAUUCACAGAGAGGACUACAGCAUGUGGGCUGAAAAAGGCAGGAGACAGCAGGGCAGUGUUCAGCAUGUUGAGUAAAUUCUAAAUUUAUUGCUGUUUGAAUAUGUGCUGACUUGUGUAGGAUACUGUAGAACUGAAGAGGAGGAACUGCUCUCUUUGAAACAUCUACUGAACAGUAAUGAAAACACCAAUACAAAAGGAAAUAUUACAAAUACUUCUUACAGAAUAGCUCAUGUUCCCUUCUUCAAUGAAUGUUCAGGACUUAAAAGUAAUAAUGAAAGUGUGUCCAGACAGGAGACCCAAGUUCCUCCAUAUGAUUUCUUUCAAAGUAACCUGAGCUAAAUUGGUUCUCUGUGUAACCUCAAUGAUGUUACUGCACAACUAUGUUAGGUCCAAGUGCCACACUGAGAGAUGAGUAAGAGCAAUACAUAGCUCCAGAAAAAACAUCUUCUGUGAUCCUCACACAGCUCAGUGUAACAUUCAAAGGGAGUUAAGUGAACAGGAGACCUACAAGCUCACUUGAAGAACUCAGGUAUUCAGAUAGUAAGGCUGGCAGUAAUGUAGCAAAUAAUGUCUGGGAAAAAAUUAUAAAGAAGAUAUGACAGAGUCUUGUACAAAAUCUUAUGCUAUUGGGGCUAUGCCACGAAGUCUGAGUUUAUCCUGGGUUUUUCUGUGGAGGGGUAACUAGGACAUAAACCCAUUAUCUUCAGAUAGUAAAGUAAAAGGGAAAGGGAGCAGGAUAAAAUAUGACAGUAAAUGUGAUUGGCAGUUUAAAAAUAUUGCUAUAGUUCUAUUACUUUCUUUUUGCUCAACCUAAAAGCAAAUCAGUCUUUGAUUGCACCUAGAACAUCUCUGGCCACAUGCACACCUAUUUCAACUGUUUAAGAAUACAUCCAGGGAGGUAUUAAGCUUUUCUGGCUGUACCCAAAUUCACAGCUGUACAUACACACAACAUAACUAUUUAGUAAUCUGCUUCGUGUCAUAAAAUACCUUCUUAGUCAUUGCAUUUGGCAACAUGACAGAUUUGAAUCAACUACUGUAGUCAGUUGGGCUCUGGAGUGGACUCAGAAGUAAACACCCCAGAUGGGAAUGAACAAAUUCAACUCCACGUGACACAUUUUCGGCAGAAUCCCUUUCCAGCAAGGCACACAAUGACGUAGUUAAAAUUUCUACUGAGAAAAUUAACAGAACUUUUACAGACAGAAUUUAUGGCAGAAAUAAAUAGCACAAAACCUAAGGGAACUGCUUUUCAGCCACUUGUUUUAAAAUCAAAAGCCAGAGUUGAAAAUUUCUGAUAUGCUGUGCUGACCAGUUAUCCAGACACAUUUUGUUCAACUAAUUUUAGUUGUGUGUAAUUGCUGUAGGAACACAGAUAUUUACUAGCUUAGUAUAUGACUCCAGCUAAGUUUGUGUUUUGGUUUUGACCAUAGGCAGGACAGCAAACGUUAGAGGAAGCCUGAACAACCUCACAGACUGUUUAUGAAAUAAACAGAACUUUUACCCAAUGUAGUUUUUCUGACCCUCUAUAAAAUACAAUAAAAAUAUAUAGAAAAUAUAAAAUAAUAUAAUAUAUAUAAAAUAUUUUUACUAUAUAUAAAACACUAUAAAAUGUCUUGAUUAAAAUCCCAUUCUUCUUGAGACCCCCACUUUGAGAUUACUUACACAAGCUUUGAGAUUACUUACACAAGCCAGUCAUACAUGUGACUGGACUGCCGUGACUUGCAUACAGAAGGCUGACCAUACAAGGGACUGAACACAAAUUUUCCAAAUACCAGAAGAGUUGACCUAACCAUAUUUUCUCCACUCCCUGCACUGCUGUGCAUGUGGCUGUGCCUGCUCCUUAGGCAGCAUGGGUAUUAACAGCAGUGUAGCCACGACACAAAACCUAGUGCAGGCAAAACCCCUGACCUUAGACAAAUAAAUUAGCUCAGAGCAGAGCCAUGCUGUCACAGCUAACUGCUAACAGCUCUGAGCCUGCAUCACUGGAAGCUGGUUUAUUACACACAGUCAUGCUGGAGGUAUAAUAAAGAGCUAUCCUUCCUCUUAGGACACCCUUUGGUGAUGGGCUGCACACACAAAAAGGCACUGUAUGACAAAAUAACUUUUAAAUGAGCUGUCAGCUUGCAGCAUUCACUUUUAUUCUGUUAAAAAGCAGAAAAGGACAUUUUGUUCAUUAAUCUCUUUUUAGCCAUUACAUAUGUGUCCACAGAAGAGCUACUCCAGGAAAAGCUUUCCCUUGGCAUCAGCCACUGAGAAAUUCCAACACCUUAACAAACAUUAGAAAGACUAAAAGCCACAGCUGUGUGCCACGGAAAAAGAGCAGGAGCGAUGCAGAAUAUCACUGUUCUAAUUCACUGCCACAGCAGGGAAUUUGUUAGGGAAAAUACUUCCUUUUAGCUAACAAAUGCCCCUGAGUACUGGUUCACUUUGUGGUAACUACUCUUCAUAAAGCACCAAGAGUUGUGCCAAUCACAGCUCUUGUUUGAUUUGCAACAGACUUCCAGUUAAUUUCAGCUGUCCACUUUUCUGGCCAAGAAUCAGAUUUCUCCACCUCUAAUCACACCAUACAAUAUCAAAAUUCAGCAUUAUUCUAUCUAAUUUGCAUGACAUCUAAUUCCAGAAUCUUGUUUUCUAGACUUAAACCCCUCCCAACAACCAAUGACAAUUGCUUGCACAUUGUUUUUUUCAAUCCCAAAAUGUCAGUUUGGAAAGAAUUCCAUUUGUACAUGAGAACUGUACCCACAGAGACUCCUACCUAGAAUCUCUGCAGCUUCUAAAUGCCUCUCAGGAUGUAUCUGUGCUGUGAAAGCAAACACUGCUGGGGAUGUCAGCACCACAGAAAGGCCAUGGGGCUGAGGAAAGAAAAAAAAAAAGAGAAAAAUAAUGAAAUACAUCAACAGGACAUGUACUUUUAACUUCAAUGGACUUUAAUGAUCAUUAAUGACAGAUAACAGAUAUUUGAAAUGUAUAAUAAAAACCCAAAAAUAAACAAGUUUUACCACUAAAGAGUGAUCCACAUUAUAAUCCUUUGGUUUAUAAGUUUUCACCAAACCAGAAAUAGGGUAAGACAUUCCAUGGCUGGAACAGAGAGCAGAGAGAGAGUGGUUAGGGCAGCUCUCCCGGUAUUUGGAAAAUUUGUGUUCAGUCCCUUCUGUGGUCAGUUUUCAAUAUGCAAGUCUCUUCAGUACAGAUACUCAGAAGGUAUUGACAGGUAUGAUGUAGAUAUUAGGUACAGACAACCUCAUCCCUCUGCACCUCAGAGACCUAGCUGUAAAAAACAGUACCUCCCUUACUUUGUGAGUGUGAAGUUACUUCACUGACUGAACUGAAAGCCAUUCAGUUCCUAAAGUAAUGUAAAUAGGCCAAAAAUAUCAUAGUCUGCAUACCUGUGUGUUCACAC